GCGAAGUGAGCUCGGUUGGGUUAGAGCAUUAGAUUGUGAAUCUAAAGAUCGUGGGUUCGAGUCCCAUAUUUCGCC
rnacentral:tRNA from 1 species